GGCUCUGUGGCGCAAUGGAUAGCGCAUUGGACUUCUAGACAGAAUGAGGUAAUUCAAAGGUUGUGGGUUCGAGUCCCACCAGAGUCG
rfam:Poecilia formosa, whole genome shotgun sequence.